GAUGAACGCUGGCGGCGUGCUUAACACAUGCAAGUCGAACGAAGCACUUUAUUUGAUUUCCUUCGGGGCUGAUCAUUUUGUGACUGAGUGGCGGACGGGUGAGUAACGCGUGGGUAACCGGCCUUGUACAGGGGGAUAACAGGUGGAAACGGCUUCUAAUACCGCAUAAGCGCACAGCAUCGCAUGAUGCAGUGUGAAAAACUCCGGUGGUAUAAGAUGGACCCGCGUUGGAUUAGCUAGGUGGUGCGGUAACGGCCCACCAAGGGGACGAUCCAUAGACGACCUGAGAGGGUGACCCGCCACAUUGGGACUGGGCCACGGUCCGAACUCCUACGGGAGGCAGCCGUGGGGAAUAUUGCACAAUCGGCGAAAGCCUGAUGCAGCGACGCCGCGUGAGCGAAGUAGUUGUGCGGUAUGUAAAGCUCUAUCAGCAGGGAAGAUUAUGACGGUACCUGACUAAGAAGCACCGGCUAACUUCGUG
rnacentral:rRNA from 1 species